CCUUUAGCAUUACGUCAGCGGUUCGAAGCUCCCUUCAGACAGUCUUCUUUUGAGACUUAAUUAAUUACAAGCAGCAAACAGAAUUUUUGUCUGCGUCAGCUGCUUUGCCGUGAACACACGGAAACUCCAGGGUGUCAUUCUGUCAAUUUCUUAGCUUGCCAUUUUCCAGUCCACAGAAGCAAACCAAUGCCUCCUCGCAGGUUGUAAUGGCGAUGGCGAUGUGCAGUCGUUGAAUCUACUUCAAAGUGCUUUGACGGUGAAGAUUCUAGUCAAAUGACGCAAAUAAUUGCUCGUGCUGGGAUUUUAGCUGUUCAGGGAGACAUUCCUAUGGUUUGGGGAAUUUACAGCUAGAGACGGAGAAGUUGUUUUUCUGUUCGAUCCUUUGUGAAGUUCUACGGGAAUUUAAGGUUAUGCUGCCUGGUUUUCCAAAAGUUGAAUUGUGAUAUUUUGCGAAUAUAGGGAUUUGUUGGGGUGAUAUUGCUUCAGUCUGCAUAAAAGAUUCUUAUUCUGCACGUCAAUCCAGUAUAUGAAUUGUUAGACAAAUAAUUUUAAUUGUUAGAUCUUGUUUGUCUGUCUAUGAAAAUGUUAAAUUUUCAAGUGCCCUGGAAUGCAUUCAACGAGAGGAGUAAGAGAAAGGAAUGAAAAAUAGUAUCUCUCCAUGCUUGGACACACAGAUUUGGAUAUUUAAGUGGUAAAAAUCCUGACAGGUUGCUUAAACUUGAUCAAUCCAUUAAAAUUGAGCUUUGAGUUUUUACACCAAGGAUCAAUAGUAAGAUGGGUCAUUAACAGGACUGUUUUUUAUCUGUCAUUCUGGUAUUAGAUCAGUUAUCAGUCAGAAUUCUCCAGUAGGAGGCCAUCUUAGCCAGAAAGAACUUUUUUUUCCAUCACCCCCAGCACAACAGCAUCCUGUCAGCAUGGGAGCUUGAUUGUCAAUAUGGUUGUGUGACACUGUGACAACGGAGAAUUGUAAGCAUACAAUUUCAAGUGAAUAAUCCGAAUAAUUGUCAGAUGAGCUCCAGGAAGAGUCGUUUUUCAUCAUGGAAGAAGACUUUCAAGCGAUCUUCUAGGGCUGAUAAACAAUGGCCUGCCGAAUUUAUUUGUCCAAUUUCCAAAUACCUGAUGGCGGAUCCUGUGAUUGUUUCUUCAGGGGAAUCUUAUGAGAGGACGUGCAUUGAAGCCUGGAUGGCACUUGGUUAUACGUACUGUUACAAGACUAGGAUGGAAUUUGGGUCGUCUACUCUUAUAGCAAACGUUGCUUUGAGAAAUGCAAUCUCUAAUUGGUGUGAAAUUACCGGUGUUCAAAAGCCAAAUCCACCUGAUCAGGAUGCUGCCAAAACUUUUAUCCAGGACGUAAUGGCCAAGGAGAACGGAAGCUCUAAAGAGAGUUCUUUAUGUGAUAGCAGAGAGUUCGAACAAAGGGAUGACUCAAGUACAGUGAGUUCUGGGGAAAAUUUUCCAAGAUCAUAUUCAAGAUCCUUAGAAAAUGUUUCUCAGCAGAAUUCACAGACUGUCAUUGAGAAAAUUGGUAGGUCUCAUUCCAUUGAUUCUGGGAGCAAUUCCAAAGAGAGUAUUUCAGACUCAUUUCAACAUAUGUCUUUGAAGCCAUCUGUUAGGUUUUCUCAUUCAGCAGUAGAUAUGGAUAUGCGGCAUACUAGCCUUGAUUCUUAUUCAUCUUCUGGAGACUUCUCUGUUCCCCUUCCUCUUGCAACUAAGCCUUGCAGUUAUUCAUCUCAAAAUCAGGAGAUAGUGGAGAUAGAACCAUCUGAUCCUAAUUCUGAUCCAGAGCAAGUGAUGGAUUUUGUCUGUAGGUUGCAGCAAUCACAGACCUUGGAACAAGAGCAGGCAGUGACUGAUCUUCGAAAGCUGACUCGGAGUAGUGUGGAGAGCAGGACUACUCUAUGCAAUCCCAAGUUGCUUUCAGCCCUUCUGCCUCAUUUGACAUCAAGAUAUGCAGGAAUACAGAGCAAUGCUGUUGCUGCAUUGGUGAACCUUUCUUUGGAGAACGAAAAUAAGGUGAGCAUUGUCCGCGUGGGAGCAAUUCCUUACCUAAUUGACGUUUUAAAAAUGGGUAAUCUGGAAGCACAAGAGCAUGCAGCUGGAGCAGUCUUCAGCCUCGCCUUAAAUGAUGAUAACAAGACAGCUAUUGGAGUGUUGGGUGCUAUUCCUCCUUUGCUCCACAUUCUCAGAUCAGCUGCAGAAAGAACAAGAAAAGAUGCAGCAAUGGCUUUGUACCAUUUGUCCUUUGUGCAGGUCAAUCGUGCUAAGCUCAUGAAGGCAGGUGCAGUUUCCAUUCUUUUGAGCCUGGCUCAAGAGGAGAUAUCUGAUGUUGCCUGUAGGGCCCUGUUAAUCCUAUGUAAUAUUGCAUCCUCUUCUGAGGGACGCAAGGCUCUCCUUGACACUAACGCCACAGCUUUAUUGGUUGGGAUUCUUGCCAAGCACCAAAAAGACAGAAGUAAAGGUAGUCAGCUGAUUCAAGAGAAUGUUGUUGCAGCACUAUUAUUACUGUCUCGCAAUAAUGCCCGUUUCAAGUCGCUAGCAAUUCAGGCCGGUGCAAUGGAGCUUCUUGUUUGGUUAGCUGAGCAUGGAAAUGCAAGAACCAAGGAAAAAGUAUCAGUUAUAUUAAGUAUCAUGAGAGGGGCAUCUGAUGAUGAAGAUGAAGGCUCUCUUACAAGAUACCAUAAAAAGUUGGGAUGGAGUGCCUUAUCGGGACCAAACUCCUCAGAUUUCUGAUUUGCUUGCCUUUCAGUUCGAAAAUUCUCCACCAGAUUAUCUACAUUACUUUGCCCUGCAGGUAGAUUGCUAUUUGGUUUGGGCUUCUAUCUGCAGAUUUAGGGAUAUGCCAGAUAACAGGGACAGUUCUUUUGUGAUGAUUCUUUCUACAAGUGUUUGUCUUCCCUUUGUUUCUUCAAGGUUUGAGGAAUUGAUUGCAAAAGUUUGCGAUGCUAAAAAGUACACUAUAUGAUGAUCCAUUGGCUUGGCAUGAGAUGUGCCAUAUUCUACAUGCAAAAUUUGCUAUUAUAGAGCAAGCUUUGAGAGAAGAUUAUGAGGCUGCAAGUGAAGUUAUUUACAAGGUAUUUGUUAAUCAAUUUGCUAAGAAGUUUUUUAAUGAAUCUGAUUGCAGUAAGGAUGAUCUUGUGGCAAGUUGCAGUAUGGCAAUAUGGACAUCUAAUAUACUCACUUAAGAUGUCUUAGCUUUCCAGAAUUAAUGCUAACAUUCUUAACGAUGAAUUGGAUUAUGUAGGUGAUGUAAAUGAUUGUGAACUCAUCCAAAUCGAUGUUAGCACAAAUUCUAUUUCUCCCAAUUUGCUAAGAAGUUUUUUAAUGAAUCUGAUUGCAGUAAGGAUGAACUUGUGGCAA